rnacentral:rRNA from 1 species
UUGAUCAUGGCUCAGAGCGAACGCUGGCGGCAGGCCUAACACAUGCAAGUCGAACGGAUCCUUCGGGAUUAGUGGCGGACGGGUGAGUAACACGUGGGAACGUGCCCUUUGGUUCGGAACAACUCAGGGAAACUUGAGCUAAUACCGGAUGUGCCCUUCGGGGGAAAGAUUUAUCGCCAUUGGAGCGGCCCGCGUCUGAUUAGCUAGUUGGUGGGGUAAAGGCCCACCAAGGCGACGAUCAGUAGCUGGUCUGAGAAGAUGAUCAGCCACAUUGGACUGAGACACGGCCCAAACUCCUACGGGAGGCAGCAGUGGGGAAUCUUGCGCAAUGGGCGAAAGCCUGACGCAGCCAUGCCGCGUGAAUGAUGAAGGUCUUAGGAUUGUAAAAUUCUUUCACCGGGGACGAUAAUGACGGUACCCGGAGAAGAAGCCCCGGCUAACUUCGUGCCAGCAGCCGCGGUAUACGAAGGGGCUAGCGUUGCUCGGAAUUACUGGGCGUAAAGGAGCGUAGCGGACUGUUAAGUUAGAGUGAAAGCCAGGCUCAACUUGGAUUGCUUUGAUACUGGCAGUCUGAGUACGAGAAGUAUGUGGACUCCCAGUGUAGAGGUGAAUUCGUAGAUAUUCGAAGACACAUGGCGAAGCGACUA